rnacentral:rRNA from 1 species
GCCUUAGUGGCGCACGGGUGCGUAACGCGUGGGAAUCUGCCCCUUGGUUCGGAAUAACAGUUGGAAACGACUGCUAAUACCGGAUGACGACGUAAGUCCAAAGAUUUAUCGCCGAGGGAUGAGCCCGCGUAAGAUUAGCUAGUUGGUGUGGUAAAGGCGCACCAAGGCGACGAUCUUUAGCUGGUCUGAGAGGAUGAUCAGCCACACUGGGACUGAGACACGGCCCAGACUCCUACGGGAGGCAGCAGUGGGGAAUAUUGGACAAUGGGCGAAAGCCUGAUCCAGCAAUGCCGCGUGAGUGAUGAAGGCCUUAGGGUUGUAAAGCUCUUUUACCCGGGAUGAUAAUGACAGUACCGGGAGAAUAAGCUCCGGCUAACUCCGUGCCAGCAGCCGCGGUAAUACGGAGGGAGCUAGCGUUAUUCGGAAUUACUGGGCGUAAAGCGCACGUAGGCGGCUUUGUAAGUUAGAGGUGAAAGCCUGGAGCUCAACUCCAGAAUUGCCUUUAAGACUGCAUCGCUUGAAUCCAGGAGAGGUGAGUGGAAUUCCGAGUGUAGAGGUGAAAUUCGUAGAUAUUCGGA